AGUGAACGCUGGCGGUAGGCCUAACACAUGCCAGUCGAACGGCAGCACAGUAAGAGCUUGCUCUUACGGGUGGCGAGUGGCGGACGGGUGAGGAAUACAUCGAAAUCUACUUUUUCGUGGGGGAUAACGUAGGGAAACUUACGCUAAUACCGCAUACGACCUACGGGUGAAAGCAGGGGAUCUUCGGACCUUGCGCGAUUGAAUGAGCCGAUGUCGGAUUAGCUAGUUGGCGGGGUAAAGGCCCACCAAGGCGACGAUCCGUAGCUGGUCUGAGAGGAUGAUCAGCCACACUGGAACUGAGACACGGUCCAGACUCCUACGGGAGGCAGCAGUGGGGAAUAUUGGACAAUGGGCGCAAGCCUGAUCCAGCCAUACCGCGUGGGUGAAGAAGGCCUUCGGGUUGUAAAGCCCUUUUGUUGGGAAAGAAAGGCAGCAGGUUAAUACCCCGCUGUUCUGACGGUACCCAAAGAAUAAGCACCGGCUAACUUCGUG
rnacentral:rRNA from 1 species